rnacentral:rRNA from 1 species
AACGAACGCUGGCGGCAGGCCUAACACAUGCAAGUCGAACGCUCUCUUCGGAGGGAGUGGCAGACGGGUGAGUAACACGUGGGAACCUACCCCUUGGUACGGAAUAACUGAUGGAAACGUUAGCUAAUACCGUACGAGCGCUGAGGCGGAAAGAUUUAUCGCCAAGGGAUGGGCCCGCGUAGGAUUAGCUAGUUGGUGGGGUAAAGGCCUACCAAGGCGACGAUCCUUAGCUGGUCUGAGAGGAUGAUCAGCCACACUGGGACUGAGAUACGGCCCAGACUCCGACGGGAGGCAGCAGUGGGGAAUAUUGGACAAUGGGGGCAACCCUGAUCCAGCAAUGCCGCGUGAGUGAUGAAGGCCUUAGGGUUGUAAAGCUCUUUUGCCAGGGAAGAUGAUGACUGUACCUGGAGAAUAAGCCCCGGCUAACUUCGUGCCAGCCGCCGCCGUAAGAC